rnacentral:rRNA from 1 species
ACGCGAAGAACCUUACCAGGUCUUGACAUCCUCUGACAACCCUAGAGAUAGGGCUUCUCCUUCGGGAGCAGAGUGACAGGUGGUGCAUGGUUGUCGUCAGCUCGUGUCGUGAGAUGUUGGGUUAAGCCCCGCAACGAGCGCAACCCUUGAUCUUAGUUGCCAUCAUUAAGUUGGGCACUCUAAGGUGACUGCCGGUGACAAACCGGAGGAAGGUGGGGAUGACGUCAAAUCAUCAUGCCCCUUAUGACCUGGGCUACACACGUGCUACAAUGGACGGUACAAAGAGCUGCAAGACCGCGAGGUGGAGCUAAUCUCAUAAAACCGUUCUCAGUUCGGAUUGUAGGCUGCAACUCGCCUACAUGAAGCUGGAAUCGCUAGUAAUCGCGGAUCAGCAUGCCGCGGUGAAUACGUUCCCGGGUCUUGUACACACCG